AAAUUGAAAUCUGAGUUUAAAUCAUGAAUUAAAUUUAAUUUUUGAUUUUUGAUAUCAAAUUUAUCUAUCUAUUUUGUAUUAAAAUUUAAAUUUGAUAUUGUAGAUAUUUUUUAAUAAAAUGUAACAUACAAAUUUAGAAAAUAUUUUAUUCUAAAUUUUGAAUAAAUAUGAUUUAUAAAUGUUUAUUGAUUUAAAAUAAAUUUAAAAAAUUAUUACGUGCAUUUACACGUACACUCAACUAGUAAAUAUAUAAUUUAUGUAUUCAAGUUGCUAUCGAGCUGACUCUAGCUCGUAUUCGACUCGUUUAUUAAAUGAGCUGAAAAAUUAAUCUCGUGUUCCGCUCGUUUAUUGAACGAGUGAUUCGAUCUCGAGCUCAUUUCGGACUAAACAUAAGCUGACUCGCAAACAACGAACUGGAUUGCUACCCCUAGUAUAGAAAAAUGGUUUAAUUUAUGAAGAUAAUGAUAAUUAUUAUAACAAA
rnacentral:lncRNA from 1 species